rnacentral:rRNA from 1 species
GAUGAACGCUGGCGGCGUGCCUAAUACAUGCAAGUCGAGCGAUCAGACGAGGAGCUUGCUCCUCUGACGUUAGCGGCGGACGGGUGAGUAACACGUGGAUAACCUACCUAUAAGACUGGGAUAACUUCGGGAAACCGGAGCUAAUACCGUAUAACAUGUUGAACCGCAUGGUUCAACAGUGAAAGACGGUCUUGCUGUCACUUAUAGAUGGAUCCGCGCCGCAUUAGCUAGUUGGUAAGGUAACGGCUUACCAAGGCAACGAUGCGUAGCCGACCUGAGAGGGUGAUCGGCCACACUGGAACUGAGACACGGUCCAGACUCCUACGGGAGGCAGCAGUAGGGAAUCUUCGCAAAGGGCGAAAGCCUGACGGAGCAACGCCGCGUGAGUGAAGAAGGUCUUCGGAUCGUAAAACUCUGUUAUUAGGGAAGAACAAAUGUGUAAGUAACUAUGCACGUCUUGACGGUACCUAAUCAGAAAGCCACGGCUAACUACGUG